AUGGAAGCUGGAAACCUGAGUGAUGACGAGAGAGAAGGAGGCAAGGAGAAAGAGAAGAAGAAGAAGUUGAAGAAGAAGAAGGACUUUGGCUGUUCAUCAUCCUCUUCAUCAUCUUCAUCCUCGGAAAGCUCUUCCUCUUCAGACAGCGAGGAUGACAAAAAGAAGAAGAAGAAGAAGAAGAAGAAGAAAGCUGAGGAUUCCAGUUCUUCAUCCUCCUCCUCCUCGUCUUCAUCCUCCUCUUCAUCCUCUUCUGAUAGUGAGGAGGAAAAUAAGAAGAAGAAGAAGAAGAAGAAGAAGAAGGAGUCUAGUUCUUCAUCCUCUGAAAGCUUCUCCUCCUCUGACAGCGAUGAUGACAAAAAGAAAAAGAAGAAGAAGAUGAAGAAGAAGAAAAAGGAUUCCAGCUCUGAUGAUUCAGAUAGCGAGAAAGACAGGAAGAAGAAGAAGAAGAAGAAGAAGAAGAAGACAAAGGGUUCCUGCUCAUCAGACAGCGAAGGCGAUAAGAAGAAGAAGAAGAAGAAGAAGAAGGGCGAUUCUGACAGCGAGGAAGACAAGAAGAAAAAGAAGAAGAAGGACAAGAAGAAAAAGAAGAAGAAGGAUGAGGACUCUGACAGCGAGGAAGACAAGAAGAAAAAGAAGAAAAAGAAGAAGAAGGAUUCUGGUUCUGACAGCGAGGAAGAUAAGAAGAAGAAAGGCAAGAAGAAGGAUAAGAAGAAGGGCAAGAAGAAGGAUAAGAAGAAGAAGAAGAAAGACAAGAAGAAGAAAAAGGAUGACUCCUCAUCUGGAAGUGAUGAUGAUAAGAAAAAGAAGAAGAAGAAGAAGGAGGAGAAGAAGAAGAAGAAGAAGAAAGAAAAGGGUUCCUCUUCUGGAAGUGAUGAUGAUGAGAAGAAAAAUAAGAAAGACAAGAAGGACUCCUGUUCCGAUGUUGAGGGAGAAUCUAAGAAAAAAACAAAGAAAGAUGACAACAAGAAAGAGGAUGGACCUGAGAAUGAAAAGUGUGGAGAGAUGAAAAAGGAGGGGAAAUAUGUAGGUGGCUUGGUGAUGGGAGGAGGGUGCAUGGAUAGCAAACCAUCUGACGAGGGAUCAGCUAUUCGCCCGAAACCCACCCUGAAGUUGGAGUCUUGGGGGCCGUCGGCAGACGCCAGACCCAACACUCGCUAUGAGUCCCUUUAUAGCCCCUCGCACUCUCUCAGUCCCAGGGAGAGCAGUCCCUCCCGCCCGCCACUCAGUCCCUUGGAGGCUCUGAUGCGGAACCCAACCUGGACCAGCGACCGUGACCCAAUGACCGGGAGAGGACCAGCCAGCAGCAGAACCACACUGCUCAAAUCCAGUGAUCUGCUCAGGGGUCCUAAGCCUUAUCAGCCUUAA
rnacentral:lncRNA from 13 species